rnacentral:lncRNA from 1 species
GGGGCGCGCCGGGGGGCGGGGAAGGCGACGGGGCCGGGCCGGUCUCGGGCUGCCCACCCGCGCAGUGGGACCAUGGCCGCGCCCGCGCAGCGCAGCGCCCGCCCCUGGCGCUGGCCAGGCAACUUGAGUUUAGGAAUAGGGAGAAAUGUCUGGGGGAUUGCUGCUCUCAUCAAGAUAACUGCCUGGAAAGACUGUGAGUUGUUUGUUGUUCUUUUUAAAAAUAUUUUUAUGUGUAUUAGAGUUUUGCCUGCAGCUAUGCCAGAGUGAAAGUGACACAUCCCCUGGAGCUGGAGUUACAGACAUUGUGAGGCGCCAUGUAGGUGCUGGGAAUUGAACCUCUGUCCUCUGGAAGAGCAGCCAAUGCUCUUGACUGCUGAGCUAUUUCCCAGGAUGUCCUUAUGCUGCUCUGUGUGAGCAGAGGCCAGGCACUGCUAUGUGGAAACUAUCCCAACUUUGGUAGCCUCACAUAUGGGCUUGAAAAGACGAUGAUGGGAACCUGACCACAACAGCAUGUACCAGCAACCAUUAUUUAAGGAACCCAGACGAGGUGAGCAGCCCUAACUCCUGUGGGUGACACUGUGUAUGACACGGGGAAGGAGCAGGAAGAGAUGCCUGUACGUGACUCUCGUGGACAUCUCUCAAUACUGCUGGUGCCUGGAGAUGGACUCUGCACUUCUCCCCAUUUUACAGAUGAGAACAGUUGAGCAAGGUCAGCAGCAGAGUCAGAACUCUUCCCCCAUCACCACAGUGGUCCUCAAGCUGGAGCCAGACAUCCGCCCAGGUGACCCAGCUUGGAUCAUGUGCUUAGGGCCAUGUUGAGCCAACAACUGAGCCUGAGGAUUACCUUCCCAAGUCUCAGUCCCUUCCUCACCAGUCGGGACACUUGUCAUGCCUGCGAGAUGUCAGACCUGCCUUCCUUCCUCAUUUCCUCCACAACCCACAAGAACACAGCCAGGACCCCUAGGCUUCUCCACU